rnacentral:rRNA from 1 species
GACUCUCGGCAACGGAUAUCUCGGCUCUCGCAUCGAUGAAGAACGUAGCGAAAUGCGAUACUUGGUGUGAAUUGCAGAAUCCCGUGAACCAUCGAGUCUUUGAACGCAAGUUGCGCCCGAGCCUCCUGGUCGAGCACGUCUGCCUGGUGUCA